rnacentral:tRNA from 1 species
CGGAAUGUGGCGCAGCUUGGUAGCGUGUCUGUCUUGGGCACAGAUGGUCGUGGGUUCAAAUCCCACCGUUCCGA